rnacentral:rRNA from 1 species
UACGGGGGGAGCAAGCGUUGUUCGGAUUUACUGGGCGUAAAGGGCGCGUAGGCGGUCAGCACAAGUCAGUUGUGAAAUCUCCGGGCUUAACUCGGAAAGGUCAACUGAUACUGUGCGACUAGAGUGCAGAAGGGGCAACUGGAAUUCUCGGUGUAGCGGUGAAAUGCGUAGAUAUCGAGAGGAACACCUGCGGCGAAGGCGGGUUGCUGGGCUGACACUGACGCUGAGGCGCGACAGCGUGGGGAGCAAACAGG